rnacentral:rRNA from 1 species
ACUCAAUAGAUACCCGGGUAGUCCUGGCAGUAAACGGUGCGCGUUUGGUGUGGGAGGAUUCGACCCCUUCUGUGCCGGAGCUAAACGCGUUAAACGCGCCGCCUGGGGAGUACGGUCGCAAGAUUAAAACUCAAAGAAAUUGACGGGGGCCCGCACAAGCGGUGGAGUAUGUGGCUUAAUUCGAUGCAACGCGAAGAACCUUACCUAGCCUUGACAUGCAUCUCUAAGUCGGUGAAAGCCGGCGAGUGUAGCAAUACACAAUUUGCACAGGUGCUGCAUGGCUGUCGUCAGCUCGUGUCGUGAGAUGUUGGGUUAAAGUCCCGCAACGAGCGCAACCCCUGUGAACUGUUGCCACCUACAUUCGUGUAGAGCACUCUGUUCAGACUGCCCUGUGAAACGGGGAGGAAGGUGGGGAUGACGUCAAGUCAGCAUGGCCCUUACGGCUAGGGCUGCACACGUACUACAAUGCUCAGUACAGAAUGAACCGAAACCGCGA